AUGGAUAGUCUUCUCCAUUGGGACUUUUCCCCUAGUUUGGCGAUUGAAUCUCAGGUACGUGCCAAGUUCCAAUCUAUAGUGCACUUCUCAUCGGCCAACCCCGGAUCGAAGGAAUUCUUCCUCGUGGUUUCAUUCUCAUCGGCAUCAUUCACGUUAACGGAAGAAUCUGUGGAUCUGGCCUUACAAUCAUGUAUUGGUGGAAUCAGUUCGGGAUUUAGGGUUUUGAGGCUCAGUGACCGUCGUUUUCGGUUUUCUGUGGCUUCCAAUAGAGUUGGUCAUUUCAUCUAUGGUCUUAAGGAUUGCAUUUGGCCCGAUUUCAUUUGUCAUUUCCAUCUCUACUGUGGUGAUCCUUCAUCUCUUGAUUAUUCGGAGAAUCAGUGGCAUGUGGAUGAACAUCUUCCGGAGGUUCAUAUGCAACCAAUGGCGAUUCGAUCUACCUAG
rnacentral:rRNA from 1 species